GUGAAUCAUCGAAUUUUUGAACGCAAAUUGCACUCUCUUCUGAGAGGAUGCCUGUUUGAGGGUCAGGCUAAAAAAAAUUGACGUAGUGGCUGGUUCGUGGUGACAUUCGUCGGAAAUUGGGUCAGCUUAGACCUUUGGUUGGUAAGGGGCUUAAAAUUUUCUUUACGAUUCUACGAACGUUUUUAAGAUGUUACUUCUUACACUCGUUUAAGGGAUCGAUCGUUAUUAGACGUGGCCUUUUCAUCGGAUCUCGUC
rnacentral:misc_RNA from 1 species